AACGCGAAGAACCUUACCUGGGCUUGAACCGCUACUGACCAAGGGUAGAAAUAUCCUCUUCCCGCAAGGGACAGUAGUAGAGGUGCUGCAUGGCUGUCGUCAGCUCGUGCCGUGAGGUGUUGGGUUAAGUCCCGCAACGAGCGCAACCCUUACUCGUAGUUGCUACCCGCAAGGGAGAACUCUACGAGGACUGCUCCGGAUAACGGAGAGGAAGGUGGGGAUGACGUCAAGUCAGCACGGCCUUUAUGUCCAGGGCUACACACGUGUUACAAUGCACGGUACAGACUGUUGCGAACCCGCGAGGGGGAGCUAAUCGGAUAAAACCGUGCUCAGUUCGGAUUGCAGUCUGCAACUCGGCUGCAUGAAGCUGGAAUCGCUAGUAAUGGCGUAUCAGAUCGACGCCGUGAAUACGUUCCCGGGCCUUGUA
rnacentral:rRNA from 1 species